UCCACAUCAACUUGGAACACAAGUUCCCGUACGAUCACCGAAGUUAAGCAACGUCGAUCCCGUCAAGUACAGAGAUGGGUAACUGUUUGGGAAUACCAGGUGCUGUAAG